rnacentral:rRNA from 1 species
UGAGGAAUAUUGGUCAAUGGACGCAAGUCUGAACCAGCCAAGUAGCGUGCAGGAUGACGGCCCUAUGGGUUGUAAACUGCUUUUAUAUGGGGAUAAAGUGGGGAACGUGUUCCCUUUUGCAGGUACCAUAUGAAUAAGGACCGGCUAAUUCCGUGCCAGCAGCCGCGGUAAUACGGAAGGUUCGGGCGUUAUCAGGAUUUAUUGGGUUUAAAGGGAGCGUAGGCCGUUUGGUAAGCGUGUUGUGAAAUGUAGGAGCUCAACUUCUAGAUUGCAGCGCGAACUGUCAGACUUGAGUGCGCACAACGUAGGCGGAAUUCAUGGUGUAGCGGUGAAAUGCUUAGAUAUCAUGAAGAACUCCGAUUGCGAAGGCAGCUUACGGGAGCGCAACUGACGCUGAAGCUCGAAGGUGCGGGUAUCGAACAGG